rnacentral:tRNA from 1 species
GGGCAUGUGGCGGAAUUGGUAGACACGUACGUUUGAGGGGCGUAUGGCUUUGCCAUGCAGGUUCGAGUCCUGUCAUGCCCACCA